rnacentral:rRNA from 1 species
UACAGAGGGGGCAAGCGUUGUUCGGAAUUACUGGGCGUAAAGGGCGCGUAGGCGGCCUGUUAAGUCGAACGUGAAAUCCCCGGGCUCAACCCGGGAACUGCGUCCGAUACUGGCAGGCUUGAAUCCGGGAGAGGGAUGCGGAAUUCCAGGUGUAGCGGUGAAAUGCGUAGAUAUCGUAAGGAAGACCAGUGGCGAAGGCGGGUCUCUGGACAGUUCCUGACGCUGAGGCACGAAGGCCAGGGGAGCAAACGGG